rnacentral:lncRNA from 1 species
GGAUGGAGAGGCGUAACCAGGUGAAGGAUCAAGAAGGUGUACUGAUGUCAGAGUGCAGCCUGGCCCCUGUUCCUUUCAAAUGAAGCUUUUCUCAUUUACUUUGUGAGGAAUGCUACGCUUACAAGGAGGAAGUACAAUAUAGUGAAUAAGAACACAGGUUCUGGUGUAGACAGGUUGGGUGUGAAUCCUACUGGCUUAAACGGUGAACUAAUGGUUUAUUGAGUGACUACUACCUUCCAGGCACUAUCCUUGGCACUAAGGAUACAUCAGUAAACAAAAACCUCCUUCAUGACACUUACUAGGUGGGGGGAGGGGACAGUCAAUAAUAAUAAUGAUGAUAAUAAGUCAUAACAUGUUAGCAAUAGUGAAUGGUAUAGAACGAACAAGAGUAGGUUAAGGGGGUCUGGGCGUAGUGGCUCACGCCUGUAAUCCGAGCGCUUUGGGAGGCAGAGGCGGGCGGAUCACCUGAGGUCAGGAGUUCGAGACCAGCCUGGCCAACAUGGUGAAACCCCAUCUCUACUAAAAGUACAAAAAUUAGCCAGGCAUGGUGGCACACACCUGUAAUUCUAGCUACUCGGGAGGCUGAGACAGAAGAAUCACUUGAACCCGGGAGGUGUUGCAGUGAGCUGCGAUUGCACCACUGCACUCCAGCCUGGGCGACAAGAACAAAACUCUUGUCUCAAAAAAAGAAAAAAAAAAAAAAGAGUAGGUUAAGGGAGUUUCAGGGAUGAUCAGGGUGGGCCUCUUUGAGAAUGUGAUAUUUGAGUGAAGAUUUUUUUUUUUUUUUUGAGACAGGGUCUUGCUCUGCUACUCAGGGUGGAGUGCAGUAACGCGAUCAAAGCUCACUGCAGCCUUGACCUCCCAGGCUCAAGUGAUCCUCCCACUUCAGCUUCCCAGUUGCUGAGACUAUAUGUGUACCACCCAGGCCUACUUUUUUUUUUUUUUUUUUGAGACGGCGUCUCCCUAUGUUGUCAAGCCUGGACUUGAACUACUGGGCUCAAGUGAUCCUCCCACCUCCAGGCGUGAGCCACCAGGCCCAGCUUUGAGCCAAGAUUUAAAGGAGGCAAGGGAAAGAGGGAUGCAGGGGCAAUGACAUGCCAGGUUUAUCUGAAGGCCUGUAAGGAGGCCAGUGAAGUUAGAAUGGGUGAGGAGGGGAAGUAGAAGAUGACCAGAGGUAAUGGAGGACCAGAUCACAGAGAACACUGCAGAGGCUGAGAACACUAAGCCUGAGCUGUCCAAUAUGGUGACCACUGACCACAUGUGGCUAUUUAAGUUAAAUAAAUGCACAAAUUCAGUCCCUCAGUUCCACUAACCACAUUUUAGGUAUUCAAUAGCCACAUGUGACUAGUGUUUACUUACUGGACAGUGCAGAUCUAGAACAUUUCCAUCACUGCAGAAAGUUCUAUUGGACGCACUGUUUAAACUAUAGUUUCCUAUUCUGUAAAAAAAAGCAUAAUAACACUGCCUGCCUCAUAACAUUUCCAGGAUUAAAAGAGACGAUACAUGACACAUGCGUAGCACAGGGUCUGGGACAUAAUACAUGCCCAAUAAAGGCUAACUCAUUUCUUCUAGGGUUUAUAAUUUGAAAGUUUUAUAGUUGUUCUCAUAGUACCCUGGUAUUGAAACUAUUCACGUGUCCUUCUCCCCAGUUAGACUACAGUUGCCUCAGUAACCAGGACAGUUUCUUAUGUAUCUUUAUAACUCCAGCACCUAGCAAAGGACCUGGUCCUGAGAUGUGACAUGAACAUCUGUUGAGAUGAGCUGUUCUGUUUAGUUAGCUUUGUUGGUUGACACACAGUGCUAUUGAGGACAAAGUUCCUAACCCCAAUCUGGGCUGCCUGGCUUGUUAUUGCAAUGACUCUGCCACCCUGGCAUACUGCACUCCCAGUCUACUGCUGUCUUCUCAGAUGCGCAUGCUCACUGACUCAGGAGUACAGCUGGCAGG